AAUGGAAGUAUCCAGGCUGGCCUUUUGAAAUUCGCUUCAUAAGGAAGGGUUGCGGAAUAAACUCUCUCUGUUGCCACACGAAGAUCUGGCAUGUCAGGCUGCAGAAGUGAAGCCCUUCAGGAAAAAGGUGAAAAUAGAUGAGACCUGCUGAAAGUCCUUUUGCAUUCUCUUUCCUGCAGAAGCCUUUCCGACGUGCACAGAAGCCAUUGAGUCAAACCGCAGCGCUCAUUAGGAGGUGCAUGCCAGGGCUCCAUCUGCCCUGCUGGGAGAGGAUCAGCAAAUGAGCAGCAAAGAAGAUGUCUACAUGCUAGACAAUAGUGCCGUGCCCUCUGCCGGCAGAGGAAAGUUCUCAACCGAUUUUAAGGGUCAGAGUAAUGAAAACUUAGCUGCAAGGCACUCUGUGCAAAGAGGUUUCUCACUAAGUCAUGCUAACCAAGAAGACAGAGUACCUAUUUCCGAAAUCUCUGAUCCUCUUAAGGUUACUGAAGAACCAAAGGCACAGACUGUAAAAACUGAUCUAGAGAUACCACCUCAAGCCAAAGUCACAUCAAUACCACUAUCUUUUUUCCCAUCUAAACUACAGCAACUCCUUGUAGCUGCAGCAAGCAGGGUCUCUGAAGCAAGGCAAGCUCCAGAAACACAAUCUGUAAUUUACAUAUGGCCAGUAAUAAAGAUGCAAGAGAGUUCCAUAUCCUUCUGGCACAAUUUUUCAAAGUCUUUAAUACCAAGCAGCCCAGAUUUAACCAGACCCCGUUCUAGUCCUGAUGUACCUGGAGAUGAGAAAUGUUCCCAAAUAACCCCAAUGAAAGAGCUUGUGCAAGAAGAGCCAGAUGAAAAGAAAGCAAAAUUCUAUCCUCUCACUGUAAAGUCAUCUAACAGUGCUGUUUCAGAAGUUUUAAAGUCACUCACCAAUAUCAAGAAUAAGGAUUUUAUGUUAACACUUUCAUCUAUUAGUCCUAUUGGAGAGCAACCGGAAAUUCCUCUCUUUAAGGGAAAUGCUCUGAUGAUCUAUAAUCAUCAAGUCUACCUUCUGUAUGUAAUGAGGCAUGAAGACCUGGCAGCAGAAAUGAAAAUAUCUGGCCACCAUAUGUUGUUUAUGAAGACCAUAAUUUUUCUCAUUACAUGUCGUUCUGUCCGUGAGCUGACAUUCCAAGAUUCACAUCCACUGCUGUUGAGAAAGGAUGCUGUGAAACAGAACAUAAAAUGUCUUACAGCCUGUGCCACCCCCACAGCCCAGAAGAAAACAUCAAAUGAAAAACAUUUCUCUUCACACAAGAGGACUACAAUCUCUCAGGCCGAGGACCGCUUCUGUCUUGCUGGGAAAAGGCAGCAGGGGAUAACCCAUGAUGAUCAGUUCCUCAGCAAGACUGCAUUCCUAUCCAAAGAAGACUUGCAUAAAAGAGAUGAUGAAAAAGGACAUUGGGAUAAUGACAAGGAAAUAAGAAAGAAAUUUGGUCUUGUUAAAGGUGUAAGAGUUGUUCUCAACAGGGUAAGUGCCUGUGAGCUUAAGGAUUUGACUGCCAAACCUUCUGCACUUGAAAAGUAAACAUUAUGACAGAGAACUGAGGGAAGUACCAGACAUGCAUACCUCUCUGUACACAAAUAUAGAGUAUACCUCACCUUGAAGUAUUUAUGACAGAGCAUUAGUAUAAAUUUCAACAUUUUUGAGCAUUUAACCCCAUAACAUAAAACAUUUCCUGUUAGAGAACCUCACCACAGCUACUUCUAAAAUGUCAGGAUCUGGUGCUUCCCCCCUCCCUGGAGGAUUUUCUCCAAAAAGUGCAGGUAAAAUGCCGACUACUGCUGAAGUCUUUUCUGACUCUGCCUUCUCUUUGGCACUCAUACAGCUGCAAUGGAAAGCAGAAAAAGUGCCUGCUGAGCUCUUCCUGCUAGCAGUGGUUUGCAGUCUGUCUGUGCCAACAUGUGGCUUGUAGGCAGAAACCAUCACCCAGCCUUUCCAAGAUCUUUGAGAAUGGUCUGUUUUUGUUGUCUCUGAAUGGGAGCAUCAUUGGUGUACCCUCAGCAUUCAUGAAAAUAUACUCUGUCUUCUUGUAAAAUAUUUCAAGGUCAGGUGGAGCAAAACUCUCAAAAGAAUAUAUUAAAAAACCACAGGUACAACUCCAGGAUUAAGAUUGUUUUUUUUUUUUUCCUUUGUGCCAGUACUCAAAUGAAAGUAAUCAAACAAGUAUUGGCUGUCAUUUCUCCUAUAAUUUCCUUUCCAGUAAAUAUGCCAAGGCAGACCCUUAGGAUAAUCAAAUUUUUAUGGUGUUUCUCCAUUUAUACAUGUUAUAAUUUCUCAACAUGUAUUCCAGAAAUCGAAUAAGAUCAAAUACCUAGCAAAAUACUUAAUUUUUGUCUGUUUUAUACAAAUGCUUCUACUUGCUGGACUGCUAUUGAGAAGUUUCAGUUACACCAGUGUUAUUAAUGUUAGUUCCCAUUAACCUGAACUGUUAUUGUGACUGCUUUUCAA